UGGAACUGUCCCUGUAAGGAGACUCUUGUUUAUUUUUGCUAGGAUGCUUGGUCCAACAACAUCAAAAACCUGGAUAAGAAAGAGUGUGGGAAUGAUAUCAUGUGGCAACAUACGACCUCCGUUUACCAGAGCCACCCAGAUUUUCACUGGAUCGCCAGUUGGCUGUACUGACAGCACAGUGGACGAAGAUUGCAGUGGUUUACUCCACCUCAACGGAGACGUGGCGACUGACCAUGAGGAACGCUAAGGAGAGAGUCCUGGAUCACAGGAAAGACCCAUUGCCUCGUGACUCCUAUCCUGAGGUCACCAGAACCGUCUGGAUCCAGCUCCAUUCUUGCUUCAUGUUGGACUCCACUGCUACGUGUCACUGUGUGAUGAUGACUAAUAGCAGCCGGUGCCAGCCAAACAUCACUUCAGUCUAUUACGAUGGACUUCAGAGGAUGAACUGAUGCCAACUCCAACCAUAAGACAUGGGAUAAAUCAUAUGCCACUGCCUGAACCUUGGACAUAGGAUAGACCUCACCGAAAUUACCGGCCGGUUGAACUGCGAUGCCUCUCACUGAUCUCUGCCUGCAUCACCUCGGUCUAAUGAUGGACUACACUCUUAUAAUGGAAUACAUAGACUAUCAAUUAAUUGCCAACAAAAGCCUUCAUCAGCCAACUAACAAAGGACAAUGCAUCUAUGUGAACUUCUGCAGUUAAUCCAGGAUGAACUUCAAAGACAUUAGUCAUUAAUCUUAAAGUUCUUACAAAAUCUUUGUUUAAACACUGACCCUUAACACUUACUAAGUUUAAUCAUUUUAAACCAUGACUUACACUGCAAGUCAUAUUCAUGAUGUUAGCCAGAGGGGAACUGUCCCCACAGUGAGCCUGGUUUCUCCCAAGAUUAUUUUUCUCCAUUAACCAACACCUUAUGGAAUUUUCAGCUUACUCACUGAGUUUCUAAAUACAAUUACUAUUUAAUUACUUAUUUUUUAACACAAUUCACAAUCGUAUUUUAUCAAAUUACACAAUGAUGACUCUAAGACAUUAUAGAUAUUACAGUUUUAUCUUGUUAAUGCGUAAUUUUCUGUAAAGCUGCUUUGAAACGAUGUGUGUUGUGAAAAGCGCUAUACAAAUAAAA